ACCGUUAAAGCAAAGUCUAACAUCAACAUCCCUAACAAUAUACAACAACAAAAAAGGAUUAUGGAUAAAAAUUACCAUUUGGGAAUCAGAGUUAUUCUUGGCAUUAUCAUCACCCAUCAACAACGACGACGGCUCUUCCUUUCCUCUUUCUUAGAGUAAUCAACAAUUGAAAUAAAUAUUCGAUCCCUUCCGAGCAAGAGCCAAACUAAGAGCUUUGUCUAUAUGAGAACCACCACAAUGCAAAAAGGUUAUAUAAUUUCAUAAAUUUGGAUCAGAUUCAUAGUAGUUGUAACACUAUUAUAUUCACGUAACAAUCACAUCAAACAUAUUCUUAUAUCGUUUUAAACAUUAUCAAACAAAUCUUUAAAUCUUCAAACCAUAAAGUUCAAUAAAAAAAAAUUAACAAAAAGUACUUGCAUUAGAUAUAUAAUCAUUGAGGAAUUUUAAAACCCAAGCUAUUCCUGAGAACCCCUGGAUAACAUAUUCUCUAUGCACUGAGAAAACAGAGUCACACAAAGCAUUAUAGUUCAAGCAACUUAAUGAUUGGAAAAUAAUUCCACAAUUUUGCCACAACACUAAGUGAAAAUUAAAUGUAAAACUGAAAUAAAUUAUUCAAGACUUUCAUGCCAGAUGAGUAAACAGAAUUGAAACAUCACAAUUAUGCAAUUUUGCCUCAACACUUGGCGAAAAUUAAAUGUAAAACUGAAAUAAAUUAUUCAAGAUGAGUAAGCAGAAUUGAAACAUCACAAUUAUGCAAUUAAACCAAUAACAACAUUAAUCAUCUUCAACAAUCAAAAUAAAAAACUCCAAACUAAAUAACUCAUCCUUCACCCUCAAAACCAAGCAACGACUGAAAGUUCAAUCAACAAAUAGUACAUCAAAAUAAAAGUUCCCAGUGAAAUUACUUAUUAAACAGAAAACAAUAGACCAUUAAAUUAUCAAAAACAACAAGAAAUUUAGAGAGAAAAUUAAAUUAAUAUACCUAGUAAACGAAGGUCUCCAAUUCAGGUUUAGAGAUGUCACAAUGAAACCAAACUUGGUAACCUACAAUUAACAAAUAAAUAUCUUGCUUUCGGA
rnacentral:lncRNA from 1 species